rnacentral:lncRNA from 1 species
CCUCUGUUUACUUCAGACAUAUAUUCUUCCACAUAUCAUCACAGAAAAGUUAAUCAGUUAGAUAAUGUUUACCCAGUGGCAUCCUGAGACAUUGAUAGAUCAUGAGAGAAGAAAAUAUUAAAUUACCAUUUCUAAGCUGCUCAUUUAUUAUGUUAAAACUCACCCCAGCACAUUCUGAGGCAGGAAGGACAUCACCCUCUUCUGGUCUUCACCCCACUGGGGCAAGUUCAGAAGCCUGGGGUGGAUACAAGAGGGCCUGGGAUAGAUCACCAGGGACAGGGGCCGAACGUGAGGCAGGAGGGAGUGCUGCAGGUACCUGCAUGUCCACGGGUUCAUACCUAAUACAUACAGAGAAUACAUAAGACACAGAUACAGUACUAAGCAUUCUCAGCACCAUGACAGUAAAUCUACAGCAUGAAAGGUAAGAGACAGAUACAGUACUAAGCAUUCUCAGCACCAUGACAGUAAAUCUACAGCAUGAAAGGUAAGAGACAGAUACAGUACUAAGCAUUCUCAGCACCAUGACAGUAAAUCUACAGCAUGAAAGGUAAGAGACAGAUACAGCACUAAGCAUUCUCAGCACCAUGACAGUAAAACUACACCAUGAAAGGUAAGUGACAGAUACAGUACUAAGCAUUCUCAGCACCAUGACAGUAAAUCUACAGCAUGAAAGGUAAGAGACAGAUACUAGAUUUAGUUGUGUAACUAAAGGACAAAGAAUGCAUAGCCCUUUAUGACAGAUUCAGGAAGGGAGUGUCAUGAUGCUGAGGAGUGUCACAUUCAAUACAUGGACAAAUAGUAAGAUUAACACAAUGCAUAUCUUCCAUUAUUGUAAAGUAUUCAUGCUUGCAGAAUGUCAAGGGAACAGAAUAGCCUACCUAACAUUGCAGAACCAUAUUCAUGUGUAGAUUGAAAUGCAAGGCAAAUAUCAUGAUUAUGACACCAUGAAACUAGACAACAUAAUACAUCUAUUAUCUAAUCCAUGACUGAUACAUGUUGAAUAAAACUGUUUUACACUGAAACAUAAACUACUGUACAGUAGCAUGUUAAAGUUACUCAACUGUAGCCUGCAUCACGUUCACACGAUUUCACAACUUCACAGACGUCUUACACCACACAACAAAGCACCAAUUUAAGCGAUAGUAUGAAUUAAAAUAGCUCCGAUUGUAAAAAUAGUAUUGAAAAUGCAGACAAGUGGUGUGUGAUUGUACAGGUAGUUACCGAUACCAAACCAAUGCUACGGGUAUCAUAGGUAGAUGACUGCUGAGAUGUUUUACAUUCACUUUUCCAUUCUUCUUACAACUUCACAGAUGUAGCAAUAAGAUUUACAACUGAUUUCAUCCAACCUUGUAAAAGAUAUUUACUCUGUAACUCUCCGUUUGAUGUAAACAAAGAUCCGAUGAGGGGAAAGUGUCAUGGCGCCGUUUGGUUUUUCA